CGCACCGAAGCGGGUGCAUAACGUGAACCCGAGAUGCACCCCAGCACGGGGUGUCCGUACGGGGCACGGCGCCCAGUGAGUCAGGCAGAGUGGGUGUCACCGCCGGAAUGUUCAGAGGCCGAGGCCCGGCUGGAUAGGGCUGGCAUCGUCAGUGGCCGCUUGAGCUCCUGGAACAGAAAGAGGCUGGCAGGUACCUUCCGGGCACCUCCUGUAGGCCACACACUUCGCCAUGUACCGAGCUGUGCUGGUGAACAGAACUGAAGAAGUGCCGGCCUUUGGGAGAUUCCUGUGUGAGAUGCAUGGCGUGCUGGCCCGUAACAUGUGCAGGGGAAGAGAGAGUUGGGGGCGGGGGGCUUUGAAGCAGGUGACCUAGGAAGGUCUUGUGAGCAGGUGAAGAAAAGAAAGUGUUAGUUGCUCAGUUGUGUCUGACUCUUUGUGACCUCAUGGAUUGUAGCCUGCCAGGCUCCAUGGGAUUCCCCAG
ensembl:lncRNA